rnacentral:rRNA from 1 species
UACGUAGGUGGCAAGCGUUGUCCGGAUUUACUGGGCGUAAAGAGCGCGCAGGCGGUCGUUCAAGUCGCGUGUGAAAGCCCCCGGCUCAACUGGGGAGGGUCACGCGAUACUGAUCGACUCGAAGGCAGGAGAGGGUAGUGGAAUUCCCGGUGUAGCGGUGAAAUGCAUAGAUAUGACCCGGAACACCGAUUGCGAAGGCAGCCCGCUAAGCAACUAUUGACGCUGAGGCACGAAAGCGUGGGGAUCAAACAGGG